rnacentral:rRNA from 1 species
GCCGCGGUAAUACGUAGGUGGCGAGCGUUAUCCGGAUUUACUGGGUGUAAAGGGUCCGCAGGCGUCUUGUUAAGUUAAGAGUUAAAUCUCAAAGCCCAACUUUGAGGCUGCUCCUAAGACUGGCAAGAUAGAGUGUAGAAGACGGAAGUGGAAUUCCUGGUGGAGAGGUAAAAUCCGUAGAUAUCAGGAGGAACACCUGUGGUGAAGACGGCUUCCGAGUCUAUAACUGACGCUCAUGGACGAAAGCUAGGGGAGCAAACAGGAUUAGAUACCCUGGUAGUCCUAGCCCUAAACGAUGAAUACUUGGUAAUAGGGAGUACAUACUCUUUAUCGCCGAAGCUAACGCAUUAAGUAUUCCACCUGGGGACUACGGCCGCAAGGUUGAAACUCAAAGGAAUUGACGGGGGCCCGCACAAGCAGCGAGGCAUGUGGUUUAAUUCGAUGCUACACGAAGAACCUUACCUGGGCUUGACAUGUAGUGGAAAGCAGUAUGAAAGUACUGCCCUUGUUGUAGCAAUACAACAACCGCUAUGCAGGUGGUGCAUGGUUGUCGUCAGCUCGUGUCGUGAGAUGUAAGGUUAAGUCCUUAAACGAGCGCAACCCCUGCCACUAGUUGCCACCGGUUCGGCCGGGCACUCUAGUGGGACCGCUAGUGAUAAACUAGAGGAAGGUGGGGAUGACGUCAAAUCAUCACGCCCCUUAUGUCCAGGGCUACACACAUGCGACAAUGGUAGGGACAGCAGGAUGCGACGAGGUAACUCUGAGCCAAUCCUCAAACCCUGCCCCAGUACAGAUCGAGGGCUGCAACCCGCCCUCGUGAAGAUGGAGUUGCUAGUAAACGCAGGUCAGCUAUACUGCGUUGAAUACGUUCC